rnacentral:rRNA from 1 species
GAGUUUGAUCCUGGCUCAGGAUGAACGCUGGCGGCGUGCUUAACACAUGCAAGUCGAACGGAACACCCUAGAAGGAGUUUUCGGACAACUGAUAGGACUGUUUAGUGGCGGACGGGUGAGUAACGCGUGAGUAACCUGCCUUGGAGUGGGGAAUAACAGCUGGAAACAGCUGCUAAUACCGCAUAAUAUAUCUGGGUCGCAUGGCUCUGGAUAUCAAAGAUUUAUCGCUCUGAGAUGGACUCGCGUCUGAUUAGCUGGUUGGCGGGGUAACGGCCCACCAAGGCGACGAUCAGUAGCCGGACUGAGAGGUUGGCCGGCCACAUUGGGACUGAGACACGGCCCAGACUCCUACGGGAGGCAGCAGUGGGGAAUAUUGGGCAAUGGGCGCAAGCCUGACCCAGCAACGCCGCGUGAAGGAAGAAGGCUUUCGGGUUGUAAACUUCUUUUCUCAGGGACGAAGCAAGUGACGGUACCUGAGGAAUAAGCCACGGCUAACUACGUGCCAGCAGCCGCGGUAAUACGUAGGUGGCAAGCGUUAUCCGGAUUUACUGGGUGUAAAGGGCGUGUAGGCGGGGACGCAAGUCAGAUGUGAAAACCACGGGCUCAACCUGUGGCCUGCAUUUGAAACUGUGUUUCUUGAGUACUGG